rnacentral:lncRNA from 1 species
UUGGCUAUCCGAGAACAUGAUUGUAAUUUUAUUAUUUUGAGAUGUAUUAUUAUACCCUCAAAUGAUAAAGUGUUAGACGUGUCGCACGAAGCAAUCCGGCCUUAAUUUUUACAGCUAAAUUGUCAUCUAAAAAUAAGACAUUUGAACAUAAAGUUGCUAUGCUUGAUAACUAAAGCUGCGAUCCUCAUGCCACUAAACUCAUCAAGGGACACCA